rnacentral:rRNA from 1 species
UACGGGGGGGCAAGCGUUGUUCGGAAUUACUGGGCGUAAAGGGCUCGUAGGUGGCCAACUAAGUCAGACGUGAAAUCCCUCGGCUUAACCGGGGAACUGCGUCUGAUACUGGAUGGCUUGAGUUCGGGAGAGGGAUGCGGAAUUCCAGGUGUAGCGGUGAAAUGCGUAGAUAUCUGGAGGAACACCAGAGGCGAAAGCGGCGACCUGGACAGGCACUGACACUCAACUACGAAAGCGUGGGAGCAAACAGG